rnacentral:rRNA from 1 species
ACGGGUAACGGGGAAUCAGGGUUCGAUUCCGGAGAGGGAGCCUGAGAAACGGCUACCACAUCCAAGGAAGGCAGCAGGCACGCAAAUUACCCACUCCCGGCACGGGGAGGUAGUGACGAAAAAUAACAAUACGGGACUCUAAUGAGGCCCCGUAAUUGGAAUGAGUACAAUCUAAAUCCUUUAACGAGGAUCAAUUGGAGGGCAAGUCUGGUGCCAGCAGCCGCGGUAAUUCCAGCUCCAAUAGCGUAUAUUAAAGUUGUUGCGGUUAAAAAGCUCGUAGUUGGAUCUCAGUUCAUGUUAAGUGGUCCACUUGCCGGUGGUUACUGCUUAGCUUGAACAUUUUACAGACCUGAUUCGUGAUGCUCUUCACCGGGUGUCACGGGCGAUCUGUACGUUUACUUUGAACAAAUUAGAGUGCUUAAAGCAGGCGUAAAGCCCGCAUAAUCUUGCAUGGAAUAAUGAAAUAGGACCUCAGUUCUAUUUUGUUGGUCUUCGGAUCUAGAGGUAAUGAUUAAGAGG